rnacentral:lncRNA from 13 species
CAAAGCAGCAUGAAAUCCCUGGGAACUUCUUGUGCCCUUUCAACAAAUCAGCUCGAUGAAGGGAGAUGACUCAGUCUCCUCUGCCCCUGAAAGCCAGAGCCAACUCUGGCUACCAGCACUCUUGGCUUCACAAAAGAACAAUUUACCCUGGUUCCCUCCCAGACUCCAGUCAGUCUCCCUGAAACUUCAAGUGGCAUCAAAGAGGGCCCAAGACAAGGAUCCUCACCUGUCCAGCUGAGCAGUUGGUCUCCAAAUGUAAUGUACCUAUGAACCACUUGGGGAUUUUGGUGUAAGAUGGAUUUUUAUUCUAUAGGUCUGGAGUGAGGCCCAAGAUUCUAACAGGCUGAUAGCGAUGCUGAUAAUCUCUCUGGGAGAACAUUAUGGGUAACAAGAACUAAGAGCAUUUUGAGUAGAGAUAAAAAUCGAACACAACACCCUACCUUCUCAUUCUCUGCUGUGUCCCAUGAACACUGCCAGCACUGCUACCCUGAUCCAAACCCCUUAAAACCAGUGCUAUUAACCAGCCUGCACUUUCCAUGGGUGACGAACUGCGCUGUCAGAACAUACUCAUCACAGCUGAGGAGUAAAAAUGCAAUCAGAUUGUCAUUUGACUGGAGGUACUGAUCCUGUUGCCUUUGAUUAAAAAUGCAUAUGCUUUCCUGCUUCUAAGUAUACCCUCUGGGGACAUAACGGGGCUCAGGGAGGG